rnacentral:tRNA from 1 species
GCCCCGUUAGCUUAGCGACCUAAAGCAAUGGAUUGUCGAUCCAGAGAACGCGAGUUCGAAUCUCGCACGGGGCGCCA